UUCUUGUAUAGAAGAGCUAGAUUAAGUGUCAGAUUUUGGUGGGGAAGUUUUGCUAGAAAUUUUGCUGAAACUGCCUGCUUCUCAGUAAUGAGGGUCGUCUCAGUUGAGCUCUCGAUAAGAAGGUUCUCUGGUUGACCUCUGGUUUUGCAGAGUCUCUCGGCUAGAAGGUGGCCCAUAUGGGGUGAAAGAACAGUUAGUAGCUUGAUUGCUGCAAUGGAAAGUUCUUCAUGGGGGUUAUUGAUGAGUUCUAUGAGGGUGUAGCUUGCUUCAGUUUCUUUUACCAAUGACACAAUGGUGGCCUCUGGUUUGGGGAUCUUAGCAAGAACUAAAAGAAUCCUGAUAAGAUUGUUGUUUAGUUCAUCUGGGGUUGAGUUGUUGAGCAUGUAAAGGAUGUUGUACACAACAUAGUCUGAAGUCAUGGUGUGACCGUGAGAGUUUACCUGGAGGUUCUCAAGCUCAAGACCAGACUCAAAUAUAUUUGCAAGGAUUGCAGCUGCUUCACUUUUUGAGUUCAAUGGUUCGUUGUGAAUUUUCCGAAUGAACAUCUCUUCAACCAUGACUCGUACAAUUCCAGCUUCUAUAAGUAUGUUGGCAUUUGGCUGGUACGAGGAGAGUUGCACUAGAGUUUUGAAUGCCGCACUUCUGGCCAGUGUAUUUCCUCUAUGUACCAUUUUGAUGAGAGUAGGAGAGGCCCCUUCAGCAACAUAGGUUUUGCUGUCAGGUCCAAGAACAAUUUCCCCAAGCUCAAGCAAGAAUAGCAAUGAUGCAUGCCUUAUGGACUGGUGACUACUAGAAAGCAUUUCAAUUAUAGAAGGAAUGUUGAUUAUUUCAGCAAUCAUUUCCUGCACAAGAUAACAAUUCGUUAGAAGUUGAAGGCACUGAACAAGCAAUGGCAAUAUUCCAACACUGCAAACUUGAGUGUUGUUGUAUGGCUUCCUUCGGUAGAUACUUUGCACCUCUUUUACUGCUUCAAGUACCAUUGCAUCUGAACUAGCCAAGGACAACGCUGAGCGGGCAACCUUAAUCCUAGCUGCUUCAUUCCUUUCUUUCCACUGCUCAAUUGUGGUUUUCAGAGCUAUGUUCUCAUUGAAAGCUUUACUCAUCAACUUCUGGCCAGUGGUUGGGCACAAUAUUUGUUCUGAGCCAGUGAACUUCUCAAACCACUCAACAAUUGCCUUCCUCUCAAAGGUCACUCCACUUCUUAUGGUUACUGGAUCCUCCAUGAUCUUCUUUGUCAGUGGACAGAAGAAAGUCUCAUACAUAGGCUCCAUGUACUGACCAACUGGAGGCAAUGUUGUUAAUGGUCCACUGAUAUUCUCCUCAUUUCUUUCGCUGACCCAACUUGUGCUCUUAAGCAUUUCAAUCAACUGCGGCGUAUUUAAGAACUGAGGAUUUUCUGUGGAGAUCUCGAAACUUAUAGGGUAGAGAUCCAUUUCUGUUGGUGUUGAUGUCGGUUCUACCUUUGGUUGUUUUCUGAAGGACAACAUCUCUUUAUCUAUCUCAUUGGUCUUGGAUGCUUGAGCUUCAAAGUGAGCAGUCUGCAUCUCAUUUGAAAGGGACCGAACUGCACUUUCUGCAUAAUGUUGGUCUCCAAAUGUUGAUGGUGGUAUGAAGCUCAAGCAUUUUCCUACGUGCUUGAUGACCUCCUCCAGCUGCACUGUAAUGGUAAUGAGUUCAGGAUCCGAAAAUGGUUGAAUGCCUUUUUGGCAGUUCUCCACAAGAAGUUUGGCCAAACUAACACUUCUUGAAAUAGACUGAAAAAUUUCCAUGGCAUUUUCUUGGCAUGUGAAGUCAGUGGUCAUCAACUCCAUUAUGGCCAUAGAAGCCCGAUAAAGGUAGCAUGCAGUUUCAAUAAAACUUUCUUGUUCCACCACUACGCUUACUACCAAUACUGUGAUCUCAGAAAUGGAUGCCAAUAUGAACUCUGCAAGACUCUCAAUUGAACUUCCAUAUUCCUUGAGCUGAAGACCAAGAACAACACAGGGAAAUUGAGCUUCGGAAAACUCUUGCCUGUGGAAUUGUCAUAACAUAUAUAUUGGCUUCAUGGCUUUUAUGCUUUCUAAAUAGCAGAAAAUUCUAUUGUGUGUAU
rnacentral:lncRNA from 1 species